rnacentral:rRNA from 1 species
GACGAACGCUGGCGGCGUGCUUAACACAUGCAAGUCGAGCGGUAAGGCCCUUUCGGGGGUACGACGAGCGGCGAACGGGUGAGUAACACGUGGGUGACCUGCCCUUAGCUCUGGGAUAAGCCUGGGAAACUGGGUCUAAUACCGGAUAUGACUCCAUGACGCAUGUUGUGGGGUGGAAAGCCUUGUGCGGCUAGGGAUGGGCCCGCGGCCUAUCAGCUUGUUGGUGGGGUGAUGGCCUACCAAGGCGACGACGGGUAGCCGGCCUGAGAGGGCGACCGGCCACACUGGGACUGAGACACGGCCCAGACUCCUACGGGAGGCAGCAGUGGGGAAUCUUGCGCAAUGGGCGAAAGCCUGACGCAGCGACGCCGC